rnacentral:tRNA from 1 species
UGCGGGGUGGGGCAGUUCGGCAGCCCGUCGGGCUCAUAACCCGAAGGUCGCAGGUUCAAAUCCUGCCCCCGCUACCA